UAACUCACCCAGGGAAUUUGUAGAGUGCAUAUUCUGACUCAGAAGGCCGGGGCAGAGCCUGAGAUUCUGCAUCUCUAACAAAUUCCCCAUCGGUGCUGCU
rnacentral:pre_miRNA from 1 species